ACCAACAGUAGAGAGGACAAAGAAAUCGAGAAUAGUCAUCAAAUAGAACAUGAUCCACCAAUGAGAGUAAACAAUUGAUGACUUCACGCAACCGCAUGAGUGAAUCUCACAGACACAGCUGAAAAAGAAGUGAGAUGCCAAAGUGUGUCAGCUCUAUGAGUCCAUCUAGACCAAGUUCAAGAACAGGUCAGGCAAUCUAUGCUGGGAGGCCAGGGUGCUGUUGAUCCUUGUUGAGGGAAGUGGGGAUGGUUGGAAGAGGGCAGGAAGGGAAUUUCUGGGUGCAGGUAAGAUUCUGUCAUUUGCUCAGGUGACGGGUCAGUUGAAAAAAAGAAAAGAAAAAAGAUGUCUGAUCCCUUAACUAAAGACCAGAAUGCCUGGGCAGGGCCAUGGCCCUGUCACUGGCCCCACAGAGAGCAGAGCAAAUUUUCAUGCCCACAUUUGGAGGCAGGCAUGCGAAUGAGGAGUACCUCUCCUGUGGGUGACUGCAUAAUGCCAUGACAAGACAAAGUGGGAGAGGGAGACUGUCUGCAUGCCACAUGCAGGCUUAUAUAGGUCAGGGAUGGGGCAGUGUGGGGACGGCAGAGAGACGGGGAGAGGGCAUUUUGUGGGCAACCAUAACUCUGGGAGCAUGUGGCUUAAAAUCGUAUCUGCUGUGGAAGGGACCUUGCUGAUCACGGUGUGCAACUGGCUAACCUUCUAUUCGGAGAUCAGAAGCCACAGUCUACUGAAAUAAUCAGUCUCUCUGUUGACUAUCCAAAGUCCUUGUGUAGUAGCCUCCUCAUUGAUUGAAGACCUUUCAACUCUUUGGCCUCCAAAAGCAAGCUUGAAGUGACUCACCAUUCCAAAAAACUUGGGCUUGGCUGGUGAUAAGAGGGUUUCAAAAAUAUUAGUAAUUGUUAAUAUCAUCUUCUGGAACAAAGCACUUCCCAGUAAAGACUGCAGUGAGAUUCCAUCAAGAUAAUGGAUUAAAACCGAGGAACAAAAAAACCUCAGCUCCAUGUAGGAUGGUGAUGGGAUCUGAAACUCAACUAUCUGAAGAAUGAUUAAAGAAAGAUCCAGGGUUUAAUUAAGAGAGGUAGACGGGUGCCUUCAAACAACCAAAAGACUGUGAUGUGGGAGGGAUAUUUUACAGUUGAAACACACAAACAGGUCGUUUAGCUGAUGACGCUCUCUGUCCGUCAGAUGGAGAUCAACAGCUGUGCAAAUUCCAUGCUGCUUUCAGGGCUGAGCUGGAGCUCAGAGAUGUAAACAGUGUGAGCUGGUCACACCACGCGUGCAAAGGCCCGCCCAGUCCCCUACCGGUCUUCCAGAGAAGUUCCAGGCUUCCCAGAGCCCAGGAGAGAGCAAUCACAUCAGGGCUUCCAGGCCCAUCAGAGUCCAGGGGCCUCCUGAACAGCUACUAACCUGGCUCUCAAAGGCAGAAUGCUCACUUCGAAAACAAAAAGGACCCCAGCUUUGUUAGAAGACUGAUGGAUGAAAGAUCUAUCUCCUGGGCUAGACUCACUACGGGCAAGAACUGAAAUUUUAAGAAGCUAAAAAGAACUAACAUGCAGUGAGAAAUAUGAAUGCUCCCAUGGAACACUCUCUACUAUGGCAGACCUACGGGAUGUCUUAGCUCAUCAGCCCAAGACCAACAGGAACAGAUCUGACAUCUAAAAAAAAAAAAAAAAUCACAUUUCUCACAAUGUAAAAGCAUUGUAACGUGAGACGCUGAACUCCAGAGGAACUAUGAAACAUCUCAGCCAUUGAAGGCAGAGCUGAGUUAUUACAGGAUAUGAGAAAAAGUGGAAUUAAGGUGCACAUUAAGUUCAGGGCUGUGAGGAAAGGCUCACCAUCGAGUUUGGACUAUGAUGUGGAACGGCAACACUGUUUCUCUGGACACAACAAAGUUCAGAUAGAUGUGGAAUAUUGUGCCCAGACACCCCUCACAUCUGGGUUGGAAAUCGAGGCAGCUUCGCUGUAUCAAAAUGACUGAGAUCCUCUAGGCAAAAAUGGACUGUUUCCUCCUUACUGAUUAAUUCCAACCACAAUAUUUCUGAUACCUAUGCUAUUAGAGAAGAAUGCUUCUCAGUGAAAAAGAAGCAGUGGUCACUCCAACAAGAAGGUUGCAUGACACUGUAUAGCUGCGGCAUGUCCUUGGGAGGAAUGUUGUUUCCCAUAAACUUUGCAGCUGGCUCUCUCAUGUCUGUUAGCCCAACUUGAUGAAUGGCUGGCCAUAUGUUUACUUUCUCAGUCCAAGCUAAUUUGUACUUUCUCAGCAGGAUAGCGGAUGACUGACGAUCUGAGUUAGCUGGGCAAGCACAGAAAUAGACAACGAGAGCAAGAUAGCUGGUGAUUCCCAUGUUUGAGAGCAUCAGGCCAGGAUAGGUCCCCUCGAGUUGGCCUUCGACCCUUACUCUUUUCCUUUCCUUCCAUUGCUCCUAGGCCCUUCCUUAUCUUUCCCCGGGGAGAAGGUGAAGGAUAGCAAAGCUUUUAUGUGACACGUUCUUCCUUUAGAUGUGCUAAUAUUUUCAGUCAAACUUUUCUUCUUUCUGUUAUGGUCCAUACUGUCUUGUCUUCAUAGUUUAAUUCUGAGGGGGGAAUGGGGGGGUCAUAGCUAGUUUCUGAAUUAUUGGGGGAGACACCUCACAGGUUGCCCUUGAUGGGGUUCCGAACAUGCUAUCCCCCAAAUAUGGCACCUUGCCACACUGAAUAUCUUAGGCUGAAGGAAUUUGAGAAAACAGCAGAAGCAGGAAGGUCACUCUGACCUCUCUCUACCCACCUUGUUCCUCUGAAAGCAGGAGAUAAAUCUCCUAUGUGCAAGCUCCCACCACCAGGAGGAAGGGAGACAUCCUUAUCACCAAACACAGGGAAUUGGGCUGAGAAAGCUGUAUAAACAAACCUUGUUAUUUCUUCUUCAUUUUACGAUCCCUAGCCCAAACCUCUUUGUCUUCUGGAUCCUUCACAAAUUUAUUAUUUCUUUGUCUAUACAAUAUGAAAAUUUCCUGCGCUGGUCACUUCUUCGGGUUUUCAUCCUCUUGCGAAGGCUUCUGUAUACCUGCACAAAUUCAGUAAAAUCUGUAUGUUUUUCUCUUGUUAAUCUUUGUCGAUUUAAUUUUCAUGCCCAGCCAGGGACCGUAAAAGGGUCGAGGGAAACUUUUAUCUCGCCUACAUCGUAAAAUAUACCUGAGAAAUACACUUGAGAAACUAUAUUUGUUUAAUGUGAGUGAAAUGGACCAAAUAAUCUUUGGUAAAAGGAUUAUAAUUUUGGUUGAAGUUGUAAUUUGACCUCAGGCAAACCAAAAUAAAAUACUGAAAAAAACUUCUAAAUGAAACUGAAUAUCCCAUAUUUAUUGAGAAAUAUGGUAGCUUGUUUACUGUGGCUUAACUCUUUGCCAAACUAAUUGGGGAAGAAAAGUGAUUUUCAGCCCUGAGCCUUUUUUAUAUUUAAAGGAAA